AGCUCAUCCAGAGGGGCAGAGGGACACGGCCCGAUGAAGCCCCGGCAACCCUCCAGCCGGUCUCGUAGAUCACCGCCGAUCACGCCGAUCGCAUUGAUCGCUUCCGCGAGGCUCCCGGCUAGGGAAGGUGCCAAAUCCGUCUCACGGCGAAGUGCGUCGUGAGGAAGAUGAGGA
rnacentral:ncRNA from 1 species